CGCCUGUUUAUCAAAAACAUCUCUUCUCGUUAGUUUUUGAAGUAUGGCCUGCCCACUGACCUUGAAUGUUGAAGGGCCGCGGUAUUUUGACCGUGCAAAGGUAGCAUAGUCAUUAGUUCUUUAAUUGUGAUCUGGUAUGAAUGGCUUGACGAGACAUAAGCUGUCUUAAUUUUGAAUUGUUUAUUGAAUUUGGUCUUUGAGUUAAAAUUCUUAGAUGUUUUUAUGGGACGAGAAGACCCUAUAGAGUUUGACAUUUAUUAUGGUCUUUUUCUGUUUGUGAGGGUUCACUAGGGCUGUCUUAAUAUGUUUUGUUGGGGUGAUGGGAGGGAUAUUAUUUAACCCCUCCUUUGUGUUGUUAUAUUUAUUUAUGUUUGCUUGAUCCAUUUAUUUUGAUUGUAAGAUUAAAUUACCUUAGGGAUAACAGCGUAA
rnacentral:rRNA from 1 species